GAUGAACGCUGGCGGCGUGCCUAAUACAUGCAAGUCGAGCGGAAAGGCCCCUUCGGGGGUACUCGAGCGGCGGACGGCUGAGUAACACGUAGGAACGUACCCCAAAGUGAGGGAUAAGCACCAGAAAUGGUGUCUAAUACCGCAUGUGCUCUAAGGAGUAAAGCUUCGGCGCUUUGGGAACGGCCUGCGCAUGAUUAGCUUGUUGGUGAGGUAAUAGCUCACCAAGGCGACGAUCAUUAGCUGGUCUGAGAGGGUGACCGGUCACACUGGGACUGAGAUACGGCCCAGACUCCUACGGGAGGCAGCAGUGGGGAAUAUUGCACAAUGGGCGCAAGCCUGAUGCAGCGACGCCGCGUGAGGGAUGACGGCCUUCGGGUUGUAAACCUCUUUCAGCACCGACGAAGCGCAAGUGACGGUAGGUGCAGAAGAAGGACCGGCCAACUACGUGCCAGCCGCCGCCGUAA
rnacentral:rRNA from 1 species